ACGUAAUAGAUACCCCGGUAGUCCACGCCCUAAACGAUGUCUACUAGUUGUUGGUGGAGUAAAAUCCAUGAGUAAACGCAGCUAAACGCGUGAAGUAGACCGCCUGGGGAGUACGGUCGCAAGAUUAAAACUCAAAUGAAUUGACGGGGGCCCGCACAAGCGGUGGAUUAUGUGGAUUAAAUUCGAUGCAACGCGAAAAACCUUACCUGGCCUUGACAUGUAACGAACUUUCCAGAGAUGGAUUGGUGCUCGAAAGAGAACGUUAACACAGGUGCUGCAUGGCUGUCGUCAGCUCGUGUCGUGAGAUGUUGGGUUAAGUCCCGCAACGAGCGCAACCCUUGCCAUUAAUUGCCAUCAUUUAGUUGGGCACUUUAAUGGGACUGCCGGUGACAAACCGGAGGAAGGUGGGGAUGACGUCAAGUCCUCAUGGCCCUUAUGGCCAGGGCUUCACACGUAAUACAAUGGUCGGUACAGAGGGUUGCCAACCCGCGAGGGGAGCCAAUCCCAGAAAGCCGAUCGUAGUCCGGAUUGUAGUCUGCAACUCGACUAC
rnacentral:rRNA from 1 species